rnacentral:rRNA from 1 species
AUUGAACGCUGGCGGCAGGCCUAACACAUGCAAGUCGAACGGUAACAGGAAGCAGCUUGCUGCUUUGCUGACGCGUGGCGGACGGGUGAGUAAUGUCUGGGAAACUGCCUGAUGGCGGGGGAUAACUACUGGAAACGGUAGCUAAUACCGCAUAACGUCGCAAGACCAAAGAGGGGGACCUUCUGGCCUCUUGCCAUCUGAUGUGCCCAGAUGGGAUUAGCUAGUAGGUGGGGUAACGGCUCACCUAGGCGACGAUCCCUAGCUGGUCUGAGAGGAUGACCAGCCACACUGGAACUGAGACACGGUCCAGACUCCUACGGGAGGCAGCAGUGGGGAAUAUUGCACAAUGGGCGCAAGCCUGAUGCAGCCAUGCCGCGUGUAUGAAGAAGGCCUUCGGGUUGUAAAGUACUUUCAGCGGGGAGGAAGGGAGUAAGGUUAAUACCUUUGCUCAUUGACGUUACCCGCAGAAGAAGCACCGGCUAACUCCGUG